UAAAGGAGUCAUUAUCAGACUGGAGCAACCAUGUAAUGGCGGCCAUCUAUAGGGCCAUGGCGCAACCCAUCGAUAAUGGACAGAACGUCACUUCUCAACUCUCCUCCGCAGAUGCUUUUGCGGUGAACUCAAAGUAGUUGUCUUCUUGUGAGCAUCCCCACUUUGCGUGGGAGGUGUGUAGGACUGUGUAGGAACCUCAACAGUGGUACCCAAAUGAUC